UACGUAGGGGGCAAGCGUUGUCCGGAAUCAUUGGGCGUAAAGAGCGUGUAGGCGGCCAGAUAAGUCCGCUGUGAAAACUCGAGGCUCAACUUCGAGCUGUCGGCGGAAACUAUCUGGCUAGAGUCCGGAAGAGGAGAGUGGAAUUCCUGGUGUAGCGGUGAAAUGCGCAGAUAUCAGGAAGAACACCGGUGGCGAAGGCGGUUCUCUGGGCAUUACCUGACGCUGAGGAGCGAAAGUGUGGGGAGCGAACAGG
rnacentral:rRNA from 1 species